rnacentral:rRNA from 1 species
GAAUUUUAUAAAUUUAAUGUAAAUGAUUAGUUUAUUUAAAUAUAUUUUAUUGGGAGGAUAUUUAAAUUGGAAAAACUUUAAUAAUAAUAGAACAUAAAUUAAUGAUUUUAAAAAUGAAUGAAUAAUAUUUUAUUAAGAAUUAAUUACCUUAGGGAUAACAGCAUGAUAUUUUUUUGUAGUUCUUAUAUAAAAGAGUGGUUGU